rnacentral:rRNA from 1 species
UUGAACGCUGGCGGCAGGCCUAACACAUGCAAGUCGAACGGUAACAGGAAGCAGCUUGCUGCUUCGCUGACGAGUGGCGGACGGGUGAGUAAUGUCUGGGAAACUGCCUGAUGGAGGGGGAUAACUACUGGAAACGGUGGCUAAUACCGCAUAACGUCGCAAGACCAAAGAGGGGGACCUUCGGGCCUCUUGCCAUCAGAUGUGCCCAGAUGGGAUUAGCUAGUUGGUGAGGUAACGGCUCACCAAGGCGACGAUCCCUAGCUGGUCUGAGAGGAUGACCAGCCACACUGGAACUGAGACACGGUCCAGACUCCUACGGGAGGCAGCAGUGGGGAAUAUUGCACAAUGGGCGCAAGCCUGAUGCAGCCAUGCCGCGUGUAUGAAGAAGGCCUUCGGGUUGUAAAGUACUUUCAGCGGGGAGGAAGGUGUUGUGGUUAAUAACCGCAGCAAUUGACGUUACCCGCAGAAGAAGCACCGGCUAACUCCGUGCCAGCAGCCGCGGUAAUACGGAGGGUGCAAGCGUUAAUCGGAAUUACUGGGCGUAAAGCGCACGCAGGCGGUCUGUCAAGUCGGAUGUGAAAUCCCCGGGCUCAACCUGGGAACUGCAUUCGAAACUGGCAGGCUUGAGUCUUGUAGAGGGGGGUAGAAUUCCAGGUGUAGCGGUGAAAUGCGUAGAGAUCUGGAGGAAUACCGGUGGCGAAGGCGGCCCCCUGGACAAAGACUGACGCUCAGGUGCGAAAGCGUGGGGAGCAAACAGGAUUAGAUACCCUGGUAGUCCACGCCGUAAACGAUGUCUACUUGGAGGUUGUGCCCUUGAGGCGUGGCUUCCGGAGCUAACGCGUUAAGUAGACCGCCUGGGGAGUACGGCCGCAAGGUUAAAACUCAAAUGAAUUGACGGGGGCCCGCACAAGCGGUGGAGCAUGUGGUUUAAUUCGAUGCAACGCGAAGAACCUUACCUGGUCUUGACAUCCACAGAACUUUCCAGAGAUGGAUUGGUGCCUUCGGGAACUGUGAGACAGGUGCUGCAUGGCUGUCGUCAGCUCGUGUUGUGAAAUGUUGGGUUAAGUCCCGCAACGAGCGCAACCCUUAUCCUUUGUUGCCAGCGAUUAGGUCGGGAACUCAAAGGAGACUGCCAGUGAUAAACUGGAGGAAGGUGGGGAUGACGUCAAGUCAUCAUGGCCCUUACGACCAGGGCUACACACGUGCUACAAUGGCGCAUACAAAGAGAAGCGACCUCGCGAGAGCAAGCGGACCUCAUAAAGUGCGUCGUAGUCCGGAUUGGAGUCUGCAACUCGACUCCAUGAAGUCGGAAUCGCUAGUAAUCGUGGAUCAGAAUGCCACGGUGAAUACGUUCCCGGGCCUUGUACACACCGCCCGUCACACCAUGGGAGUGGGUUGCAAAAGAAGUAGGUAGCUUAACCUUCGGGAGGGCGCUUACCACUUUGUGAUUCAUGACUGGGGUGAAGUCGUAACAAGGUAACCGUAGGGGAACCUGCGGUUGGAUCACCUCCUUACCUUAAAGAAGC